CGUUCCACUGAAACCACUCUUUGAUUGGCAAUAAUGUGAAAUUAACCUUCGCCUCAAGUUUCUUCUCGGUUUUCAUACAAUUACUUCGAUAGGCUUCUCAAGGCAGGUUUUUAGAUGUUGAGACAAGCGGGUAGUUCCUUGUUCACUCUGAGCAGGUUGUACAAUGAUUCUCCUAGUGAAUUCAUCCCAUGCCGGUGACCUUGUUGUACGCAAUUUCUUCAACAAAGCAACAACAAGUGGAUGAUUUUCAUUCGCUACUUAUGCUAAUCUCUUACUUGAAGAAGGUGUUGAACUUGAAGCAAUUGUUGAAUAUUCAACACUUUGAUCUUCUUGUUCUGGUUGUUCGGAAUUUGGUUGAGUGCCUGAAGUUUCAACUCUGUU